AGAUAUGGCAACAUUGAAAAAGGGGGACUGGGUUGAGCAGACGAAAUCGGCGAACGUUGUCUGCUCAGUCAGACGGCGUGGUGAUUUCGUGAUGGUUUCACCACGUAUUUCAUCUCCGAAUACCACGUGUCACGAUUUCACCUGUCUGUCACAGUUUAGAGGAAUAUUUUAUACCUGCCCGAACUAGGGCAGAUGUAGCACCGAAUAAAUCCUCUUCCUUUGGGAAUCUUUCGUUCAAUCGAACGCGUUCCAGUUGACUUACUGCGUCUAAAUUUAACGGAAACGUCAAAUGGGUGUUGAUAAACUUUACAGAACUUUUACCUUGCCAGUUGUCAACUUUUAUUUCCUUCUCGACUGUUUCCCAAUCGAAACAAAGUCGCUUCAUCAAUCGAUAAGCGUGAAUUGGAUUUCCAGUCAAGUGUUCCAUAAACUCUUCUUCGUUGGCCAUCUUCUCCUUGACGACGCUUUGCUCGUAAUCCUUAAGUUCUCCAAGGACAUCGACUAUUUGUUGUUCAAGACGGAAGACACUUGUCAAAUCGGCUGACGCGGUGUACAUGUCCCCAUAAACACGUGGAUUUCUUGCUAUCGAAAUUAUUAGAACGGUGAAGUAAAACUG